AUAGCAGAACAGAGGUCAUUUUUUUUUAUAUGUCUUUGAACACAAGCGAUUGAAGCCGUUUUUUUCUUUAAGCAUGAUUUUUCUAAACUUGUAUAGUAAAAAGAAAGAUUGAAACAUAAUUUCCUCAAAUAAAUUGUGGACUUGACGUAAUACAGUUUACUUUAUUUAAAAACACGCUUACCGCCAUCAUAUUUUUUUUUUUUUUUUUACAAUGGCAUGUCUUUUUAAAAAAGAAUGUCUCAUGUCGGAUAUUUUACUUAUAUUUUUAGGUACAUAUCCUAAUAUUUUCAGAAGUUUUACGUGGUAUGAAAAUGUGACUUAAUUUCAUCCAGAAAACGUCUCAUGUUACAGUAGUUUCAGACUUGUUUUUUUUUCAUGCGAGUAAGGAAUGGCUCCACCACUUGGCGUUUAUAAAUUUUAUCGCCAAUUGGAGCUUCAAGUUUUAAGAAGCUGUCCCGUACAAUAUUAGUUUUAGAAUUAUAAUUUUAAAAACUUCAUCAAAAGAUGUGUCUGAUUAAUACGCUGUAUAUGUAUAUGCAUUUUUAAUUAUAAUCAUUUAGAAUUAUAUUUUGCGUUUGGAAUAUUUAUAUCAGUCACAUAAUAAUGUUUACCAGUUACCAUAUUUGGCGUAAUAUUGCUUGCCAACAUUAUUUUUAUUAGUUUUUUAAAUGUUAUCCAUUUUGACAGUUGAUGGAAGCUGUCUUUUCAACAGCGUUAUACCGUAUUUAAGAUUUAUGUCUUCUGUAGCACAGAAUUUUGUAUAAAAAGUUACUGAUUAAUUUUCGAAUAAAAUCGGAUGUGACAACUUGUUGCUCAUUAACUUAUACUGUCUAAAAUUUGCGAUGGCAUUCUGAGAAGAAGUAAGCUGUACGGUUCCUUUUAAUAAUUUCAUAAAUUGCAUAUCACAGCCUCUCUUCCUACUAAGGAUAUUCAAGAUUCAGGAUGAAUCCUCAUGAAGUUGAAGGGUUGCGUGAAAUACUUAGUUGCCUAAGUUUGGAUCACCUGAAAGAAAUUGCCAUGAUAACUACAAGCCAUAUGAUGGAUGAUCAUUAUAAUGGUGUACAAGCACCUGAUUUAGUGAAUGAAAUAAUAAAAAGUGCUUCAAAUGCUUCAGAAGUCCUUCAUCGCCAAAAAGUAUCAAAGGAACUACUCUUGAAAUACCUGAGGAGGAAAGGUUUUGAUCCUGAUCCAAAAAGCAAAAAAAUUGUGUACAUCAAAACUUGUUUAUCCUUGUGGAAUGCUUGUAAUGAGGUGAAACCUCAAGCAUUUUAAGUAUAUUUGAUGCAUUUCAUAUCACUGUGUAUCAGAGAUGCUUGAAAUUUCAUAUUGUUGUGACCUAGUAUUUGUUUGUUCACAUGUGAAUCCUUAGCUUUAAAAAAGCAUUUUUGUCCAUGUUUUAGACUUCAGUUUUGUGAUGUAUGUAAUUUUUAUAGAAUUUUUGUAAUCAGUUGCAAGAAAUACUGAUUUCACAAAAGUGGCAUUUAAAUUAUAAAUAAUUUAUGUGACUAUCAUAGGAUGCAUUUCUUGCUGCAAGAAUUAGUAGCACAGAAAUUAAGUCUUCAAAGAGAAGUUAUCUGUGAUUAUAAAGCUUUUGUAAAUAUAUUACAUACUUUACCAGCACAAUUUUGUCUGAAGGUGCUCUGGGUGUUAUGAGUUUGUCUUAAAUGCCAAACAAACAAACAUGAUAUAUAUAUAUAUAUUCUUAAAUAUUAAGUGAAGCAGCAUCAAUUGUAUUUUUUUAAAUCUCUAAAUCAUUAUUAUAAUUCAUCUCAUGAUGCAAAAUCUCUGUGGCUGUCAGAUCCGUAAGUGUUUGAUUCAUGAUCAUCAUCAUGCAUUAAUAAUAUUUCACUCAUUAAAUGCAUUCUGCAACCAUAAAAGAAGCAUAUUUCUAAAUUUAGCUGAACAAGUAUCUUUAUUUAUUCCUUAUGUAUUGAUACAGUUGUUAGUAUCAGUUUAACUAAGAAUAAAUGUUUUUCAAUUAUAUAUUUUAUGUAAGAUACCAAAACUUGGUAGCAUAUACCGUAAGAGGUGGAAAAAUAAAAAUUGUAAUGCCAGCUUAACUGUUCAUUCUGAAUGCAAUUAACUAUUUGGUUGGCGAAGCAUUCUAAGGUUAUUUGCCUUGGGAUGAAGUUGAGAAUUUUUUAAAGGAAAUUCAUUGAUAUUCAUUGAUUCAUUGAUUGGAAAUAUCAUAUAAAUACUAUGCUACCUGUCAGGUGUCAGAUAUUGAACCAGAGUGAACUAUCAAUAUUCAGCAGAUUUGCCUAAGGCUGUUAUAACAGACAUAUGGCUGCUAGAUUAUACAUAUAUUCUGUUUGUAUAGAAACAUGAGUCCCUAGGAUUUGCAAUAUUUUGGCAUUCUUAGCCUCAGCUUGAAUAAAAGAGUCUUAAGCAUACCAUUCGUUUAAGUAUUCUCAAUGGCCAUAUUCAUUUUUCUUGUGAAGGAGAAAAGAAUUAUAAAGGAAUUUUAGGUUGAAUUUGAAAUUCCUUAAAAUAUGAGGUUCUAGGCUUCUUGGCCUUAGCAAUAAUUAGAGUGAAUCCUUAACUUUACCAGUUCUUUCAAGAAUAACCAUAUACAUGUGAAAGUGUAUGCCCUUAUAUUCCAAGGCUCUUCUGCAGUGUCCAUCCAUUAAGGUGGGACUGAUCUUAUCCAUUCAGCACUUCACUUAAAGCAAAAAUUUUGAAAUAAGACAAUUUUUGUUAAAAAAAAAGGAAUUAAAUUUUUAUAAUAAGCAGGUUAGUGCAAAUUCAUAUUUAUUUUUACUUAAAUUUAUCUGUAUGCUCAAAUCUUAUAAUGCUUAUGCUUAUUACAAAUGACAAAUUUUGAAGAGAGUUCUAGCUCAUAUUAAUAAAACUUAAUCUUAAAAUUGUUAUAAUUAAUGUAAUGCAAUCAGUGUUUUCCAAAUAUCAAAAUAUUUUUGAGUUUUGCAGAAAAAAUUAUUAUUGAAAUAACAAAUUACAAAUUAUGUUUUGUUUCAUUAUAGUUUUUAAGUGUAUAAUAACUAUGCCAUUCGUAACAGUUUGCAUCUCUGUGUGUUUUUUGUUGUUUGUGUUGCAGAGAUUUUUUUUCAUAUUAUUAAAAUUAUUGUUUAGUAUCUAAUAUGAUAUAUUCAUCUUAUUACUUGUACUAAUGCUGGGCAGUAUUAUUUGUUUUGAAUUUCAUGACAAGAAAAUUUACAGUACUAGAAAUAAACAGUAAAAUAAACAGUACAAGAAAAUUUGGAUUUUCUCAACUUUGAAUGAUUAUUGACAAGAGAUCAACUAUGCUGUAUAAUUCUCUAAGAACUGAAAAGAGCUUCAGUAUUUAAAUGCACCAAUUAAAAUAUAAUUUUCCUUAAAAAAUUUUUAAAAAAUGAUUUCUUAAUUUACACUUUCUGGAUUACAGUAAAAGAUUAAAAAAGUUUUCAAAUUAAUGAGCAAAAGAACAUAAAAAUUUUCUUAGAUCAGGAUCAGGUCAGUUAAUUGAUUUGUUUAGAAACUUUUAUACUCUGAGUAAUGUAUGUACUAAUCCAUUUAGAAAUGGCAUGUUUUAACUUACUCUUUGGUAGCUUACAAGUAUAAAUAAUUUUUCUUUACAUUCAUUGAUGCAAGCUAAAUGCUAAUUUUUUUCUAUGAAGCUAUGUGAUUUUUUUUACCAAGUUUCAAUCUUAUUAUGUGAACUUUUAUUUCACUUUAUUUAAGUAUAUCAUGGGAUGUAUUAUUGCUAUUUAUCAAAUAAAAAUAUAGUGGAACACAGUUUGUGUCUAAAAUUGUAUAUGAAAAGCAUACACUAGCAACAACUUUUAUGUACUGAAAAUUUUUAUGCUGGCUAUAUUUCAUAAUAUAUUCAGAUAAUUUGCUAUCUGUUCUCUUGCAUUUAUGAACUGUAGUAUUAUGUUCUAGCUCAUAUUAAUAAAACUUUAUCACUUUAUAUAAUAACUUUCAUCAGUGCUGUGAUUUUUUACAGAAUUUAUAUAUGGUGUUAUUUUUAGCAUCUCUGAUACACAUCAUAAUAACAUACUACCUCAAAAAUUGUGUGUUUUUUUAGUAUAUCCUGCAACUUUUUUCAGGAAUGUUCCAAAGAAAGCAUUUUUAUUUUAUUCAUAAAAUUUUCAAUCAUAGUAUUUGUUUUUGUCUCAAAAGUAUUGCACAUUUAUACAUAUAUUGUCCAUCUAAAAACAUUCCAUUCAUCAUAUGCGAACUAGAGUUACAUAGUCUUACGUAAAACAAUUCAAUAAAAAUAGCUAAAAAAGGCAUAUAAAAAGAAAAUUGUUUUUUAUAGUUUGCUAAACAGUACUUUUGUACCAAACAGAAGGCUCUAUUCAACUAAAUAUUUGUGCUAUUGCAUUUUCUGUUGCAAGAUGAUUAAUUUCUUCUAAAUAAUCAAAAAUUUGUAUUUGGAUGCACAAGUUUAUGAAUUUGAUUUAAUUUUAUACAAAGAAUGCAUCUUCAUUCCACACUUUUCAUCACAUUAUUACAGUAUAAUGUAAUAAUUGUUUUAUAUGUGUGUAUUAGAAAUAUUUUUAUUCAGUAUUAAAUAUAUUUUUGACAUGUAACAUUAAACAGUGAAAGUCAAAGAUUUAUAUAUUUACAAGGUGGGCCAAAUAAGACCUAUUAAUGUUAAACAUGGAUAAUCUGGCAAUACUAAUUUAUUUUGAUUAAUUUUUUUAAUACAUUAAAUAUGUUUUAUGGAAAUUAUGUAUGAAAUAUGACAUGAGACAAAUGUCUAUCAUUUUUCGCGGUAUAGAGAUUGGCUCUCUUUAACGCGUUUUUUAUUAAACCAUGUAAUGUUUCUAGUUGAACGCUCAGUAUUUUGUCUUGAAUAUUCUGCUUCAGCUGUCUAAUAGUCUCUGGUUUAUUAACAUAUACUUUACCUUUUAAAUAUCCCCAUAAAAAAAAAAGGAUUCUGCUCCACCAUUGGCCGCGAAUGCUUUCAUUGUUCUGUAAGAAGUUCCGGAAAUUGUUUCCGACAUUCCAUCCUCAUUCUCGAAGAAAUGUGGGCGGACUCUAUUGGCCAUAACACCACACCAAACAGUAAACUUGAAUUAAAAUAUUGCCGAUAUUUAACCUGCGUCAUGACAAUUGAUCGUUGACAAGAAUUGAAAAACUCAGUAAUUUUAAUGCAUUGUUUUGUACUGUAUGGUUCCCUAAUAAAUUUCCAAAAAUUCAAUUAUAACCUACAAAAAGAAAAAAAUAAUUAUAUCAAAAAAUAAAAAAGUUAUUUGUGUUUAACAUUGGUAGGUCUUAUUUGGCCCACCCUGUAUUUCCAUAUGCAAGAAUUUUUGAUUUUCUUGUAAUUUGUUACUCUUUAAUAACUUGAUUUUAUAUCUUUAAAACUUUUAGUAUCAUUUUAUUCUGUACUGUUAUUUUUUUUGUAAAUGUAAUUUUAUAUUUUAAGAUAUGUGAUUAGAUGUUAUUAGGUUGGGAAUUUAACAGUUUGCUAUAUUUGAUGUAUAGUGUGAAGUCAUAAUGAUUUAGAAAACCUCUUAUGCCAUUUUUGUUACUUCUGAUUAUCCACAGCCUCUUUCUAGAAAGUCAUUAACUAUUGCUGAUUAAUUUUUUACAAAGCUUACGAGAGACAACAGCCACUUAAAAAAAUUCCAGCAUAGUAUGAAUUACAUAGUAUGAAAUUUUAGCAGCCAAAUUAAGAAAAUUAAAAAUGCAAGAAACUUCCAUAAUAAAACACUUACUUCUCUGUGUUUUGUUCUGCCUUUGUAUGCAGCGAUUUGUUUUAAUAAUAAUAAUAAAAAAAAAAAAAAAAAGAAUUGCAGAAAUUUGACAUUGUGCAAUGGGCUAAUACGCAAAUUGUUGUUCUCCCCAUGUAUGCAACAGUCUGUUUCAGCUUCAGAAGACAUAAGAAAAUUGCACAAAUUUUUAUUUUUAAAAUUCGAUCAUUCAGGAAAUAUAAUUUUAUGAAAUGUGAAUUUUUGCAUUCUUAAUUGUUAGGCAGAACACCAUAUUUCAGAAGAAAUGCAAGACUUUCUUUUUCAUCAGCCAGCAGGGAUGAUUUGUAUUCCUUACAAAGGGGCCAAAUUACAUUCAGUGCACUUCCCCCCCCAAAAAAAAAACAGUUUUGUCCUUGCAGCAAAAACAACUAUUAAUGACAGGUGCUUAUCUGUUGAGCACAUGCACAUGUACCUGGAUUUCCACAUAAAUACAAUUUGUUGAUGUCUUGGUUUGCCUGUUUUGGGAACAUAGCAUGUUCCUUUCAGGGAGUGCAGGUAAUCAGAAAAAACCCAGUUUUUUAAAAUUAUAUAUCAGUUUUUUUUUGGGGGGGGAAGUACUCUUUUUUUUUUUUUCCUACAAAUUUAAGAAAGUAUUUCAUGUACUGUGUAGUUAAUUCCUCUUAAGCAGUUUAUGACAGACAUUUUAAAAGAUUUUUAUUUUUUAUAUUUGCAAUGAAAUACACAUGCUGAUAAAUUCUUAACUCUAUUUACUAAAUUACAGAAAAAUUAUAUGUAGUCAUUAAGAUAUCUACCUGAUGAAUAGCAAUAUUCAUCAUAACAUAAAAUUUACAAUAUUUUGUGUUUUACUAUCUAAGUAUAUGAAUUUUUCAGUAUGUUACUGUUAUGAAUUCUGAGGUUAACAUACGCUGAAUUUUAGAAAUUAAUAAUUUUAGUAAGUUAUAACUCGCCCCAGAUUUUCUGCACUGAUUUUUCUCAUCACAACCAUAUAUUCAUCUUUUGUGUAAGUGAUAGUGUUGUGAACAAAAAUUAUUAUUAUUCAUAAAAAGUAGGUACAUGCUACAGAAACAAAAUAGGUGGAUAAAAAAUUAUUUCAAGCUUCUUGGACCUGAAUUUCUGAUGUUUCUUUCUGUGUAGUAGAAUUUUUUUAAAAGCUGUAAAGGUAACAGGCUUUGUUUUAAAGGCUAACAUUUAAAAGAAAAAAUCAAUAUAAAAAAAAUCAAUAUCAACUCUUGCUUUAAUGCAUUUGAAGAUAACAGUAUGUGAAAGAAUUUGAAAGCAUUCUUAUCCAUUAUUUCCAAUUCUGUAUCUGAAUCAAGUCAUACUGAUAGAUAAAAAAUUUUAAAAUCUGAUAUGAAAUUGUGUCAUUAGGGGUAAUUUGAUUCAUGCUGUUUUUGGUAAGAAUUUUUAGUGGCUUUAAUAUUCAGUACUGCUGAAGGAAUGUGUGUUGUUAAAGAACUUUAAUGCCGUAAAUUUAUGAUUUUAUUUGAAUGAAAUCUAUCUGCAUAAUCUAAGUAAAAGGGAAGUUACCUUAGUUCUACCUCCUGAGGGUUCAUCUGAUGGAUUGUACUAAGACACUGGUCUAAAGUUGGAUGAAUUAAGCUUUAUGUUUUCAUUCUAUCUACUUUUUAGAUUUAUGAGUCGUCUGUUUGUGUUAGUCUUUAGUUAUUCUUAAUUUCCAGAAGUUUCACUACUAGCAUUUUGGAUGAGGAUUAGCUAUAAUAAUUUUAGGCAAAUGUUUUCUGAAAAUAACUUUUGCCUUCCAGUUUUUGACAUAAGAGUUAAUAUUUUUAAAAAAAAUCUUCUCCAG